GUGAUGAAAUGCACCUAACCCGAGAGGUGGCGAGCUCACGGUACGCUGA
rnacentral:snoRNA from 1 species